rnacentral:rRNA from 1 species
UACGAAGGGGGCUGGCGUUGCUCGGAAUCACUGGGCGUAAAGCGCACGUAGGCGGCUUUCUAAGUCAGGGGUGAAAUCCUGGAGCUCAACUCCAGAACUGCCUUUGAUACUGGAGAGCUAGAGUCCGGAAGAGGUGAGUGGAACUGCGAGUGUAGAGGUGAAAUUCGUAGAUAUUCGCAAGAACACCAGUGGCGAAGGCGGCUCACUGGUCCGGUACUGACGCUGAGGUGCGAAAGCGUGGGGAGCAAACAGG